GUAAAUUUUUCAAGCCCCAAGGAAAUCCUCUCAACACAUGGCUAUGAUGCUUCCCCAGUACUCCUGCUCAUGAUCAGAGAUGCACAUAUCGUCAGUCACCAAGGGAGAUGCUUAAUUGGUUAAGGUCGAACAACUGACAAGCAAAUCUGUGGUAUAUUUUCUGUAGCCUAUCU